rnacentral:lncRNA from 1 species
UGCUUCCAUUACUGGCUCAAGAUUCCUCCGGCCCACCGUGGCACCCGUGUCGUGGCAUGCAGUGACAAUGAGCUCAGGGUGCCAAAGUAGACGUGUGCAGAGCAACGGAAAGACUACACAGGGACACUUCACCGGAAUGUAGCAACAGGCUAAUGGCAUCUUCAACUUCACGUGACCUGCGUUUGGAACAUCAGAAUUAAGCAUCCAUAUUGACUCUGCCUUUCUUGUGAAAACAAUUAAACAGUGUGUGCUA